AUUGAACGCUGGCGGCAGGCCUAACACAUGCAAGUCGAACGAGUGGCGGACGGGUGAGUAAUGUCUGGGAAACUGCCUGAGGGAGGGGGAUAACUACUGGAAACGGUAGCUAAUACCGCAUACCAUCAGAGGUGCCCAGAUGGGAUGAGCUUGUUGGGGGGGUAAGGGCUCACCAAGGCGACGAUCCCUAGCUGGUCUGAGAGGAUGACAAGCCAAACUGGAUGUGAGACACGGCCCAGACGCCUACGGUAGGCAGCAGUGGGGAAUAUUGCACAAUGGGCGCAAGCCGGAUGCAGCCAUGCCGAGUGUAUGAAGAAGGCCUUCGGGUUGUAAAGUACUUUCAGCGGGGAGGCGUUACCCGCAGAAGAAGCACCGGCUAACUCCGUGCCAGCAGCCGCGGUAAUAC
rnacentral:rRNA from 1 species